AAAUAUAACCGUUCGUAGUCAUCAAGCUCCGGUAUUUUUGAAAUAAGCUUGUUUAUUUCGUUAAAUAAAAGCGUAUUUGAGUGAAAAUGAUCACAGAAAUUGCUCGUGAUUUGGAGGCUCCGAAUUUCAUCUGUGAAAAUUAAAUGCACAUGUGGUCAGUCAAGGAUUUGUUCCCUCCAAGGCAAUCAAACUAGAAUCACCAUUUGUGGUAUUAUUUGAAAAGACGGCGUAAUUUUCGGUAUCAAUAUAUGCGCUACUGAUACAAAAAUUUCGAUAUAUGUGCGACAGGAAGAUAAUUGAGAGAAAACCGACUUUCUGGCUAAGAACAUGCACUUUUCGUUUUGUUUU